rnacentral:rRNA from 1 species
GCAGUCGAGCGGUAACAGGGGUAGCUUGCUACCCGCUGACGAGCGGCGGACGGGUGAGUAAUGCAUAGGAAUCUGCCCGAUAGUGGGGGAUAACCUGGGGAAACCCAGGCUAAUACCGCAUACGUCCUACGGGAGAAAGGGGGCUUCGGCUCCCGCUAUUGGAUGAGCCUAUGUCGGAAUAGCUAGUUGGUAAGGUAAUGGCUUACCAAGGCAACGAUCCGUAGCUGGUCUGAGAGGAUGAUCAGCCACAUCGGGGACU